rnacentral:rRNA from 1 species
UGCGCAGGCGGGCUUGUAAGUCAGUGGUGAAAUACUGCCGCUUAACGGUAGAACUGCCAUUGAUACUGCGAGUCUUGAAUAUGGUUGAGGUAGGCGGAAUGUGUUGUGUAGCGGUGAAAUGCAUAGAUAUGACACAGAACGCCGAUUGCGAAGGCAGCUUACUAAGCUAUUAUUGACGCUGAGGCACGAAAGCGUGGGGAGCGAACAGGAUUAGAUACCCUGGUAGUCC